UACGUAGGGUCCGAGCGUUGUCCGGAAUUACUGGGCGUAAAGAGCUCGUAGGUGGUUUGUCGCGUUGUUCGUGAAAACUCACAGCUCAACUGUGGGCGUGCGGGCGAUACGGGCAGACUUGAGUACUGCAGGGGAGACUGGAAUUCCUGGUGUAGCGGUGGAAUGCGCAGAUAUCAGGAGGAACACCGGUGGCGAAGGCGGGUCUCUGGGCAGUAACUGACGCUGGAGGAGCGAAAAGCCGUGGGGAGCGAACAGG
rnacentral:rRNA from 1 species